AAAUUGAAGAGUUUGAUCAUGGCUCAGAUUGAACGCUGGCGGCAGGCCUAACACAUGCAAGUCGAACGGUAACAGGAAGCAGCUUGCUGCUUUGCUGACGAGUGGCGGACGGGUGAGUAAUGUCUGGGAAACUGCCUGAUGGAGGGGGAUAACUACUGGAAACGGUGGCUAAUACCGCAUAACGUCGCAAGACCAAAGAGGGGGACCUUCGGGCCUCUUGCCAUCAGAUGUGCCCAGAUGGGAUUAGCUUGUUGGUGAGGUAACGGCUCACCAAGGCGACGAUCCCUAGCUGGUCUGAGAGGAUGACCAGCCACACUGGAACUGAGACACGGUCCAGACUCCUACGGGAGGCAGCAGUGGGGAAUAUUGCACAAUGGGCGCAAGCCUGAUGCAGCCAUGCCGCGUGUAUGAAGAAGGCCUUCGGGUUGUAAAGUACUUUCAGCGGGGAGGAAGGUGUUGUGGUUAAUAACCGCAGCAAUUGACGUUACCCGCAGAAGAAGCACCGGCUAACUCCGUGCCAGCAGCCGCGGUAAUACGGAGGGUGCAAGCGUUAAUCGGAAUUACUGGGCGUAAAGCGCACGCAGGCGGUCUGUCAAGUCGGAUGUGAAAUCCCCGGGCUCAACCUGGGAACUGCAUUCGAAACUGGCAGGCUUGAGUCUUGUAGAGGGGGGUAGAAUUCCAGGUGUAGCGGUGAAAUGCGUAGAGAUCUGGAGGAAUACCGGUGGCGAAGGCGGCCCCCUGGACAAAGACUGACGCUCAGGUGCGAAAGCGUGGGGAGCAAACAGGAUUAGAUACCACGGUAGUCCACGCCGUAAACGAUGUCUACUUGGAGGUUGUGCCCUUGAGGCGUGGCUUCCGGAGCUAACGCGUUAAGUAGACCGCCACCGGGGAGUACGGCCGCAAGGUUAAAACUCAAAUGAAUUGACGGGGGCCCGCACAAGCGGUGGAGCAUGUGGUUUAAUUCGAUGCAACGCGAAGAACCUUACCUGGUCUUGACAUCCACAGAAGAAUCCAGAGAUGGAUUUGUGCCUUCGGGAACUGUGAGACAGGUGCUGCAUGGCUGUCGUCAGCUCGUGUUGUGAAAUGUUGGGUUAAGUCCCGCAACGAGCGCAACCCUUAUCCUUUGUUGCCAGCGGUCCGGCCGGGAACUCAAAGGAGACUGCCAGUGAUAAACUGGAGGAAGGUGGGGAUGACGUCAAGUCAUCAUGGCCCUUACGACCAGGGCUACACACACGUGCUACAAUGGCGCAUACAAAGAGAAGCGACCUCGCGAGAGCAAGCGGACCUCAUAAAGUGCGUCGUAGUCCGGAUUGGAGUCUGCAACUCGACUCCAUGAAGUCGGAAUCGCUAGUAAUCGUGGAUCAGAAUGCCACGGUGAAUACGUUCCCGGGCCUUGUACACACCGCCCGUCACACCAUGGGAGUGGGUUGCAAAAGAAGUAGGUAGCUUAACCUUCGGGAGGGCGCUUACCACUUUGUGAUUCAUGACUGGGGUGAAGUCGUAACAAGGUAACCGUAGGGGAACCUGCGGUUGGAUCACCUCCUUA
rnacentral:rRNA from 1 species